UACGAAGGUCCCAAGCGUUAUCCGGAUUUAUUGGGUUUAAAGGGUGCGUAGGCGGGCUAUUAAGUCAGUGGUGAAAUCUCCGAGCCUAACUCGGAAAUUGCCAUUGAUACUGGUGGUCUUGAGUACAUUUGAAGUGGGCGGAAUGUGUCAUGUAGCGGUGAAAUGCUUAGAUAUGACACAGAACACCGAUUGCGUAGGCAGCUCACUAAACUGUAACUGACGCUGAGGCACGAAAGCGUGGGGAGCAAACAGG
rnacentral:rRNA from 1 species